UAUAUUUUAUACAUUUCAGUUGAAGCAUACUGAAACGGAAAGGGUAAAAUUAUAUUGUUUGAUAGAGAUGGUAAAUUAUGUGCGACUAUAUUUUUUAUUAUUUGACACCGAAUAUAAUGUUUUUAUAAAUAUGCUAAUUAUUAUAAUGAGAUCACACCGUUCUAAAUCAAAUCAAAAUUAUGAUUAUUAUUUCAUAAGACGGAAAUAAUAUGUAGAUUAUUAUAAUGAGAUCACACCACUCUAAAUCAAACCUAAAUUAUAAUAAUUAUUAUUUCGAAAAGUACCGAGAGUAAAUGUGUCGUAUCAUAUCAUUCACCUCACACUGCUCAGCACAUAGACGACACACGGAAAUUUUUUAAUAUUUCAACUUUUCAAAGAACAUUUUUUAUCGUAAACAUUGAACAACGGUCUCACAAACUUAUAAUAUAUCAUACCACAUCACGACGCUCAACACAAACACACACGGAAAAAGUUCAUUUUUUUUUUCAAAUAUUUCAACUUCACAAAAUAUCAAUUAUGUCUUCAAUCGUUUCAAACAAUACACGGGAUAGAAAAUCAACAAUAUUCUAGAAUCUUUAGAAUAUUAUCGUACUGACCCAGAAAUCACCUUUAGAUAUGUAGGAGAUUAUUACCCAUUUAUGGAACCCAAAAGUGGUGUAGCAGUGCAUGUUAUCAUGAUGAAAGAUCUGGCGGUUUUCAAACUUAUUACAAUUCUAUAUACCAGUUUGUUCGAUUUAAAGAUAUAGAAGCGUUUAAAGAUUAUUGUUAUUAUACAAAAUGUAUAUUAUGUGGUCGGUUUUUAACAAAAGGAGUUUGUUUAGAAAGUAACCCAUUCCCUGCUAGUAUUGACGUCGUACCUGUACCCGUAACAUAUUCAAGUUUUUUUGUUUUAGAUAUGA